rnacentral:rRNA from 1 species
AUAUUUACUACACAAAAAUAAAAAAAUUUUAUAAUUUUAAAAACAUUUUUGAAUCUUGUAAAGGAGAUUAAAAAUUGAUUUAUUAUAUGUCACUGAGUACUGAAAAGGAAGAAAAUAAGUUUAAUAUCAGCAGUUUUACACACGUACCUUUCGCAUCAUGGUUUAGCUAGAAUCACCUUAAAAUUAAAUAUCUCGAAGCUUAAUGAGCUAUUCUAUGCCUUGUAUUAGCCUUAAACAGCCAAGUGUUGCAAAACUCUCUUAAGAGCAUAAAAUAGAAAUUAGAUUUUAUUCGUAUUGAGCGAUAGCUAGUUUUUCCAGAAAAGUAUAGGAGUACUUAAGUCGUUGUUGCUAAAGUAUAAAUCAAUAUAUUUUAACAGGCGGCUUAGAAAAUCUUUAAGGAUAAGCUUAAAGAUUUAUUGUAGUAAAAUAUUCAACUAUAUGUUAUAUCUAGGCUUGAAAUUAGCCACGAUUGAAAAAUUUGUUAUAAAUUAUUUUUUAUUUCAAAACAUAAUAGGAUUAUUUAAUCAGAUGGGAAAAAUGUUUUUAUUUAAAAAAACAUGUAUGUAUGCUAAAAUGAGUAUUGCUUUAAGUACUAUUUUAAUAAAUAAAAUUAAAUUAAUGAAAUUCAUAUCUUUAAAAAAAUUUGUAAAAGGAACUCGGCAAAUACUCGUUCUGCCUGUUUAUCAAAAACAUCGCUCGUUGAUUUUAUAUUAUAACGAGUCGAACCUGCCCAGUGAUUUUAUUCAACGGCCGCAGUACUCUGACUGUGCAAAGGUAGCAUAAUCAUUUGCCUUAUAAUUAAAGGCUAGUAUGAAUGGUUUGACAAGAAUGACGCUGUCUCUUUCAAAUUUUAUAGAAUUUGGUUUUUAGGUGAGGAAACCUAAAUAAAAUUAAAAGACAAGAAGACCCUAUCGAGCUUAAAAUAAUUUUUUUGAUACCGAGUAAUACUAACUUCAUUAAAAAAUUUUGGUUGGGGCGACUAAGGAACACAAAAAGCUUCCUAUAACACAUACUGACAUUUAAGUUUUGAUCCAGAAUAUCUGAUUAACAGAAUUAGUUACCGUAGGGAUAACAGCAUAAUCUUUUUUGAGAGUUCUUAUCGAAAAAAAGGUUUGUGACCUCGAUGUUGGACUAGGAUACCCAGAAAGGUGCAGAAGCCUUCGAUGGUUGGUCUGUUCGACCACUAAUAUCCUACGUGAUCUGAGUUCA